rnacentral:snRNA from 1 species
CAACUCUGGUGUCUCCUCAUUUACGGAUAAAUCUUUCGCCUUUUACUGAGGAUUUCCGUGGGGAUCCAUAGCACAAUGUGUCUGAACUUAUUUUUUACAACCCCGUCCGUCGGAUG